UCUCCGUUGGUGAACCAGCGGAGGGAUCAUUACCGAGUUUACAACUCCCAAACCCAAUGUGAACCAUACCAAACUAUUGCCUCGGCGGGGUCACGCCCCGGGUGCGUCGCAGCCCCGGAACCAGGCGCCCGCCGGAGGGACCAACCAAACUCUUUCUGUAGUCCCCUCGCGGACGUUAUUUUUACAGCUCUGAGCAAAAAUUCAAAAUGAAUCAAAACUUUCAACAACGGAUCUCUUGGUUCUG
rnacentral:misc_RNA from 1 species